AAGUGGAGCAAUCCAUGAGUAAAGUGGCGCACGGGUGAGUAACACGUGACUAACCUACCCUCGAGUGGGGAAUAACCUCGGGAAACCGGGGCUAACACCGCAUAACAUCUACGGAUCAAAUGCGUAAGCAGCUUGAGGAGGGGGUCGCGGCUGAUUAGCUAGUUGGCGGGGUAAUGGCCCACCAAGGCAAUGAUCAGUAGCCGGCCUGAGAGGGCGCACGGCCACACUGGAACUGAAACACGGUCCAGACUCCUACGGGAGGCAGCAGUGGGGAAUUUUGCACAAUGCCCGAAAGGGUGAUGCAGCAACGCCGCGUGAGGGAUGAAGGCCUUCGG
rnacentral:rRNA from 1 species